rnacentral:rRNA from 1 species
GACGAACGCUGGCGGCGUGCCUAAUACAUGCAAGUAGAACGCUGAAGGAGGAGCUUGCUUCUCUGGAUGAGUUGCGAACGGGUGAGUAACGCGUAGGUAACCUGCCUGGUAGCGGGGGAUAACUAUUGGAAACGAUAGCUAAUACCGCAUAAUAGCAGUUAUUGCAUGAUAACUGUUUGAAAGGUGCAAUUGCACCACUA